UUUUAAAAUGGAGCUCAAAUAUUUAAUUUUUAGCUUAUAGCUAUUUUGUUUACAUAUCACUCUUUUGCUUACAAUUACUCUUUGUAUUUUAAUUUCAUUGUGGAAUAUGGAUAGAGAUACCUUUUGCUACGUUAUCGAGGAUAUAAUUGAUUUAUGUAUAUUUUUUUAUGAACUUAAAAAAAUCGAAAUAUUAAAUCUAUACUUAUAUUUACGCGUAACAACUAAUCAUGAUUCAAUCAUUUUUUCAAUCUAAUAUUUUUAUGAAUACUAAUCUCUCUUCUCUAACCUAAUGUAACAGAUCUCAAUGUUAGGAUCAAAAGACCACAUAACUAAGACUAAACGUUAGUUAUCCUCCGAAGCAUUCAUUUUUUUUAAUCAUGUAAUUGAAAUGUAUAUACUUAUUUUGUAAACUUGGCUCCUUAAUAUAUCAUCAAACAAUUAAGUAAUAUGUACAAAAUUUAUCAAUUAUACGUCUUGCACUUUAUGAUACGGAAUAAUAAUUUAAUUUUUACUAAAUAUCAAAUUUUGGUAUAAUAUUUUUUAUGUUGGGCCCGUAUUACGAUUUUGAUAUAAUGUAUUUCGAUCCCCCAGUAAAGAAAGAAAAGAGUGAUGAACAAAUUAAGAUGAAGUGAGUAGGAGUAUUCUGCUGUAUAAUUCUUCUUCUGCUCUAAAAGUUGUAGCCAAUUGCAAGAUGCGGUGCUUUUGGAAGGGUUUAUAUGGGGGAUGAAUGUUGAUUCCAGAGAGUUACCCACUCGCAUAGUCGGAGGUUAUAAGAAUGUAUACGGUGCAAUUAUUAAGGACUAGAAUACUUGCACUGUUGCACAAGAAUGGAAUUAUGCACAUAGAUAUUAGGGAGCACACAUACCAAUUUACAUUAAAGGUUGCCUUAAACUAUCUUUGAAUUUGGUGUAUGAAAGAAGGUUGUUGAAUUGGUACGGGCAUUUCUGGCUUCGCUGCCUUAUGCAUUUUGUUUUUGCUUCUUAGAGAUAUUUAUUGACAACUGAAUUGCCUAACUGUUUUAGGCUUUCUAUUUAUAUGACCCUUACAAAGUCAAUGAGGGUACGCCAUAUUGGAUGGCUCCUGAAGUUAUUCUGCAGACUGUCCAUAGCUUGUCAAUUGAAGUACAAUUAUCAACUUAUUUUUUCGUAUCACCUAAAGCCAUGAAAGUUCAUAUAUAUUGACAGUCUAGUGUAAAUGCCCUUGCUAGUAGUGGUUUUUUGUUUGGGGGGUGGGAGUGGUUGUACAUCAUAUUACUAAUGGAGGCCUGCUUUUGUGAGUCAAACCCCUGACCCAUAUUUCACAAUUAGGUGGUCUACAUUUCUGUGCUAAUCUUCCACCCUCAUGUUUCAAUACCUGGGACACAUAUGUCACUGAGGUUUUAUUUAACAGCUUGAACUCCAAAUAUGAUUCCCAUAUGCAUCACAGUUAAUAGUAGAAUUGCAUCAUAUUCAGAGGCAUUGCACUGCUAGUUAUCAACUAUUAGGUUCUAAACCUUCGUCAUAUAAAAGAAUGCAGGCAUAAAUAACUAGUUUAUCAACAAAACUUGUCUGGUCCAAACUCCAAAGUGUUUUGACUGACAAGAAAAUAGAAAGUACAACAUGUUUGAAGUUUCUUGUAUUUUUCUGAAGUUUGAUUAAACUAGGAAGUACUAGGCAGUAGAGCGUAAGCCUACACUAUUAAACUUCAUUGAUAACCAUAUUUCAAAAGAAUUUUAGAACUUUGAAGGAAAAUUUUGACUAUUCACUUCUUAUUAUUGUUUUAGGUUUUCUUUUCCCAUCCAAAUGAAAAGGUGCAAGGUCAUUUUAUUAGUCUUAAUAAAUAUGAAUGAUCAAGAUAUAUUACAAAAUGAACUCAUAUGUUCUUAUUAAGAUUAAUCUAAAUAUUAAUAUGUACAUUAGAAUAUAGAAGUAUAAUUCCUAAUACAUAUCUAAAUAUUUGUAAAUUAGGAUAUAGAAGUAUGAUUCCUAACACAUAUCUAAAUGUUAAAAUAUGAAUAUUAAAUAAUUUAAGUUGUUUGUCUUCUCAACAUCUGAAUGUAUAGAAGUUGUCUUUUAUUUAAAAUUAUCCCCUCUGUCCCAAUUUGUGGGACACAGUUUGAACUUCGAGAGCCAACUAUUAUAUGGUGAUGAUAGUUGAUGGUGAUGAUUAUAAAUGGUAGCUAGGGGUGAUGACAGUUGACUGUGGUACACAUAGUAAAAAAGCUACCACAUCACUGGAAAAGUUGACUAAGGAAGCAAAUAAAUCUGAGCAAACAACUAAGGCUCUUGAUUUUGUACCUUUGGAAAUCAUGGUGCCUUUAAGUAAUGAGCAAUUGGUUGGUGAAAAAGAAGCACAUGAGAAUAGCGGUGAAUAGUCAGGCAAAGAAGAAAAAAAUGAGUGCAACUGAACAGUCGCGUGAAGAAGAAGAUAAAGACAACUAUGGUUGAUGAUUUGAAGAAAACUUGAUCAUACUACAAGUGAGAAUUCAUCUAAAGGAGAAGAAUAAAGAAAUGACAGCACAUCAGCAAAAAAUAUGGUUGAGGGUUCAAUGGCAGCUACAUUAGAAAGAACAGAAAACAGAUAAAAACAACAUGAUUAAAAGGGAUGUCCGAUGAGCAGCUGUAAUGAUGUUGGUGGCUAUGAUAAUUUUAUAGGUACUGUGUACUCAAAUGAUGACUGUGAUCCUGAGGCUCUUUCGCUUCCAGUAAUGCAUCAAGACUAUUGACAUGAAAAGUAUGGAUUUUAAGACCCACUUGAAUGUGUCUAUGCCUUAUUAUUCAUGGUCACUGUGAGUGUCAACUUUGGAACUCGAUUUGUUGAGUUUAAAAAUGUUUUGAUCAGUUAGGGUAUUAAGAAGGAUAUUUAAAAAAAACUUGUUUUGGUCACUUUUUAGCCUUGAACAAAGAUAUGGAGCUACAACUCCCACAGAAGCUGAUGUGUAGCCUUCUUCUUCGCGGAGUCUUUUGUGAAAAGAAAUAGUAGAUUUGGUGUGGUUACAGUGACUUGCAUUUUUGGGAUCAAUGUAUCAUGAUUGAACUCUUAUGUGAUUCUGUAACCCCUCCCUCCUUUAAUUAGCAAUUAACAAAGAUUGGAAAAAAAUAUAUGCAAAUUUGGUUGAUAUAGUGGAGAAGUCUAUUCAGCUCAUUUUGAAUAGAAAGGAUCCAAAGCUGACAAAAAAGUAACCGAUGGUAGUGAGCGGUUUGGUUCUUGCAUAAUAUAUUGUGUGCAAAAGAUGCAAAAAAAAAUAAAUAGACAUCAACGUGUAAAAGAUGGCUUCGAAUAAAAAUAUAUUCGAUAAAAAUUCAUGGGAAUCAAAUAAGUUUCAAUCUUACUAUUGAAUAUCUUUUUGAAAGAAUUGAAUCCAUCCAAGAUCUAAUAGAAAGUGAUCUACUUAUACUCUUGGAUGAAUUCAGUUCUUCUAAAUGAUUUUCAAUAGAAAGAUUGAAGCGCAUUUGACCCCAUGGAUAUGAAACAAAUACAGUUUUAUUCGACACCACUUUUAACCAGUCGAUGAUUAUCUUUUGCACAUAAUAUGCUAUGCAAGAACCAAACCACACUCACUGCCACCUUUUUUUUCAUCAUCCUUGGAUUCAUCAUCUUUUCAACUAGUACAAUAGACUUCCCCACUUAUCGACCAAAUUUGCACCCUCUUUUUUCAAAAUUUCUGCUUACUGUUGACUAAGGGGUGUAGGGAGGGGAGAGUGAAAUUGGAGUCUACUCAUGACAAUGAAUUCGUUAAUGCCAGAACAAAUAACGGCAAUCAUUCUAGAUUUUCUUUUUCUUUUCACAGAAGACUCAGCACAAAAAAAUGCUAUGCAUCAACUUCAAUGGAAGGAGCUACAUCUUUUUUCAAGUUUAAAGUGACUAAAACAAGUUUUUCUAAAUUUCUUCUCAACAUCCUCACUGAUCGAAACCUAUUUAAACUCAACAAAGUGAGUUAUAAGCAGACUCUCGCAGUGACCCUUGAAUCAUAAGGCCCAGACAUGUUUAAGUGGGGUCUUAGACCCAUACUUUUUUAUGUCAAUGAUCUUUACGUAUUACUGGAAGCAAAAGUGACUCGGGAUCACUAUUAUCUUUUGAUGAUUACCCUUAGAAUUCUUUUUGUUCUGCAGCUGAGUCCUUCCUUGUUGUAUGUUCAAUGCUUUCUUCUCUAACUUUGAUCACCACCUAUGUCAUCCGUUUUCAUCUUCUUCUUCACCUGACCACUCGUUGCAAAUCCACCACUUUUUUUCUUCACCUGAUUGCUCAUUAUCAACUGCUCAUUUCUUAUAGGCAUCACAAUUUCCAAAGGUACAUGACCAAGAGCCUUAGUUAGCUUUUCAACGUGAAAGACCUCGGAAUCACUAUUAUUUACAUUUCCAAAGGUUCGUUUGCUCAAUUCCUGUUUUACGUUAUAAUGACGUGAUAUUUUCUUGCAAAGAACCUUGAUUUAAAGAAAACCCAGGAUUGAGCCAAUAUAUUUUUUUAAACUACAAUUAUACAUUUACACAGGCCCAAGUUCUGAUCAUUCAAUAGAAUAUAAUAAAGAUCAUAUAAUGCACAAACAAGAUAUAGCAGUUAAGUACAGGCCAGAUCUCAAUUAUAACAAAAAUCAAAUAAUGUCACCAACAGAAGUACGAAAACAUGGAGCACAAAGGACAGUUUUCAGGGCCUCAAAAGCAUUUACUUUUCCUUUGUACGGAGUUAAUCCUGACACGAGAACUGCCGAAGCUGGUUUGGAAGAUAUUUGCAAGUUUAGCAGUGAGAGGUGCUCUAGUGUGUAAUCGGAGAACUUUUUAAGAUGUGAUGAAUGUUUGAGUUGACAAGAAGUUGAUAAACAUUCUUUAUAGUCAAGCUAUCAAGAAGCCUGGUUAUAGUUCCACGUGUCAGACAAAAAAAUAGAUGCAUUCACUGUUUCAUGUCACUUAUCAGCAGCUGAGGAUGAUGAUUUAACAGUCAUAAGUUAGAGCAUCCCUGGAUGUGAAAAGAUCUAUUGUUUCUUCUACAAGGGGAAAUACUGUUGCCUGUCUAGUGUUUCGCAUUGCUGAAGUUCUCUAGGGGUAGACCUGAAGAAGUUACAAGCAGCAUUGUGUGGAGAAUUCUACAUUUAUUGAAUGCCUCCACCAAAGCGACUUCCUUGAUGAGAACUGUUUGAUGGAGAAAGAAAUUCCCUUCUUUCAUCAACUGAACAGUAUUGACAAACAUUAUCCUCCUCUUAGCAAGUUGUUAUGAUGGUGACUCCUUUUUAAUCGAGGGAUCAUGCGUCAGGCAGUGAGGAUCCAGUUCUAAAUUGAUGCAGAAAUAGAUUCAGGUUUGCAUCUCCGGGGAGAUAAAUGCAUGCUGUACGCACUUGUGUAUUAUUUUUAUUUAGUCUUGUAGCGUGAGUAUAAUGUUCUGAGGUUUCUCAUUUUUCAAUAUGAGAUUAGCCUAAAAUCAUGCAUAUUUGAAAGUUUACCACCCUAGAACCCUGCAAGUUCUUAUCCUUAACCAAGUCUUGUUACAUUGCAUGAACCCCGUUUAGGGACCAACCUCUUCAUUGAGGUUUGCCUCACUAUUACACUGUUGCAGACCCUUUUUGAUAACAUAUUGUCACAUCCCAAGAAGAUAGUACAUAUUAUUUUCUUUGGCCCCUAUUUGUCUA